UGUUCUGUACCUUAGUUGGUUAAAGCGCCGGUCUAGCGAAUACGGAGUCGUGGGUUCGAAUCCCACCAGAACGC
rnacentral:tRNA from 1 species